rnacentral:tRNA from 1 species
GCCAGGGGAGCUUGGGUGGUUACAAGCACCCGACUUGUAAUCGGGAGUUCGUGGGUUCAAAUCCCACCCCUGGCU